CAGCAGCCGCGGUAAUACGAAGGGUGCAAGCGUUACUCGGAAUUACUGGGCGUAAAGCGUGCGUAGGUGGUGGUUUAAGUCCGUUGUGAAAGCCCUGGGCUCAACCUGGGAAUUGCAGUGGAUACUGGGUCACUAGAGUGUGGUAGAGGAUAGUGGAAUUUCCGGUGUAGCAGUGAAAUGCGUAGAGAUCGGAAGGAACAUCUGUGGCGAAGGCGACUAUCUGGGCCAACACUGACACUGAGGCACGAAAGCGUGGGGAGCAAACAGGAUUAGAGACCCGGGUAGUCCCUGUCUCUUAUAC
rnacentral:rRNA from 1 species